GACGAACGCUGGCGGCGUGCUUAACACAUGCAAGUCGAACGGAAAGGCCCUGCUUUUGUGGGGUGCUCGAGUGGCGAACGGGUGAGUAACACGUGAGUAACCUGCCCUUGACUUUGGGAUAACUUCAGGAAACUGGGGCUAAUACCGGAUAGGAGCUCCUGCUGCAUGGUGGGGUUGGAAAGUUUCGGCGGUUGGGGAUGGACUCGCGGCUUAUCAGCUUGUUGGUGGGGUAGUGGCUUACCAAGGCUUUGACGGGUAGCCGGCCUGAGAGGGUGACCGGCCACAUUGGGACUGAGAUACGGCCCAGACUCCUACGGGAGGCAGCAGUGGGGAAUAUUGCACAAGGGGCGGAAGCCUGAUGCAGCAACGCCGCGUGCGGGAUGACGGCCUUCGGUUGUAAACCGCUUUCGCCUGUGACGAAGCGUGAGUGACGGUAAUGGGUAAAGAAGCACCGGCUAACUACGUG
rnacentral:rRNA from 1 species